AAAAAUGCAGCACCUGUGUAUUUUUGUUGUAAGUGUGUGUGUCCCUUCCAAGAUCUGCUGUUGUCUACACACACUGACGGGAUAAAACAGCCAGAUGGCACCGGUCAAUCCAGGGGGAAACUGGAGAGGUUUUGGCCCCCGCCCAAGAAAGACCAGAAACCUGAGCAAACACAGCAGGAGGCAAAAGUACGGAGAACAGGAGGUCAGAAGGCAGCGCUAUGGCAACGCUGGGAAUCUGGCCAGAUCAACGGGCAGCCGUCACAGGAAAAGAACUGACAUUGGGCAUGCUGAUGUCACUAACAGAAAAUAAUAUCUAAUAUUUUCUCUAAUAGAGCUAAAGUCCAAGAUCAAUCAGUGUCCCUUAACAAGCUGGAAAGGUAGCUACAGCUUUAAUGCUUUGGCCAAACUCUAGUGUUAUCCAUCACAUGAAUAUAGAAAAUCUCUUAAUUUGGCUAAAGGCAUAACAUGCAUCAUUCUGAAUUUAAAUAUUGCAGGAUUCAAAUAUGUAAUACAUAAAUAUAUUGUGGGGUAAUCACUUCCUUAAAAGAGAGUCUGUCUUCAGUCUGGAAAAGCUGUUGGUUAAGCUUAAGUUGUAUUCUUGUGAUGACACUCCAAUACCAUGCCUCUAGAAACAGCUUCCCUGAGUGGGCAGGGUCUUCCCUCUUACGCCUUCUUGUGGCAGGCAUGGCUAACAGUUGGAGAGGGAUGCAUUUACUCAAAAAGAGAACAUGUUCGAGUCCCUGAGUGAAAUAUAAACAAGCGCAGUCCUGUCCAUGUGAGCACAGAGCAGAAAACAACAAAUCCAAAUGGAGUGACUCGACUCUCUUCAAGGAGUCAUUACUCCACAAUAUAUUUACAUAUAGGUAUAUUUGAUUUAAGCUUCAUCAGAAUGUGCCAUUGAAUGCCUUAGUUAAUAAAUACAGUCAAAAAAGUUUAUUUGUAUAAAGCAGUAUGUAUUAUGUUUGUACAAUGUAGACAGCUAUUAUUACAUCUAGAAAACUAAGGCUGUGUACUUUUCACAGUAGUGAUAUUAAAGGUGCAGUUCGUUGACUACAUUUUAUUACACCCAUGUUGGUUGUUGUGGGAGUUUUCUGAUGUCUGAUAAAAUAACCCUGAUGUACGGAAGAGGAUUAGGGUCACUGAAAAAAAACUUUUUAGUGCUGAAUUUUUUCUCAGAAUUCUGAAAAUAGGUCAGACCUAAAAGAAAAAUCAUUUAGCUGCCCUUAUUCUUUUCUAGACUGGAACCUCUUUGUUUACUGGAUAUCUUGAGUUUGAGAGCUAUCCGUUUUUACAGGAAAAAGCCACUGUCUUGUUGCAUCGUGGAGCGUUUAGACAGUAUGAUCCAUAUACA